rnacentral:rRNA from 1 species
UUCCUGAAGGAACGUUGAAGACGACGACGUUGAUAGGUCGGGUGUGUAAGCGCAGCGAUGCGUUGAGCUAACCGAUACUAAUGAACCGUGAGGCUUAACCUUACAACGCCGAAGGUGUUU